AGUGAACGCUGGCGGUAGGCCUAACACAUGCAAGUCGAACGGCAGCACAGUAAGAGCUUGCUCUUACGGGUGGCGAGUGGCGGACGGGUGAGGAAUACAUCGGAAUCUACUUUUUCGUGGGGGAUAACGUAGGGAAACUUACGCUAAUACCGCAUACGACCUACGGGUGAAAGCAGGGGAUCUUCGGACCUUGCGGGAUUGAAUGAGCCGAUGUCGGAUUAGCUAGUUGGCGGGGUAAAGGCCCACCAAGGCGACGAUCCGUAGCGGGUCUGAGAGGAUGAUCGGCCACACUGGAACUGAGACACGGUCCAGACUCCUACGGGAGGCAGCAGUGGGGAAUAUUGGACAAUGGGGGAAAGCCUGAUCCAGCCAUACCGCGUGGGUGAAGAAGGCCUUCGGGUUGUAAAGCCCUUUUGUUGGGAAAGAAAAGCAGCAGGUUAAUACCCCGCUGUUCUGACGGUACCCAAAGAAUAAGCACCGGCUAACUUCGUG
rnacentral:rRNA from 1 species